UUUAACCUCUGCUGCCAUACCACCAGCAUCCAUCUCUGACUGGCAUUACUUUCAGAGCAGCCCUUGAACAUCUAAUUUCGUGAAUCCCUGGUAAUCUUUGGAGGAUGACCACAUCUGAUCACAAGAAAUGAACUUGGAAAACCCAAAAGAUUUUUUGAGAAGAGCCUUCAUCAAAGGCUCUUAGAAGGCCAAGCUGUCAUUGGAUAGAAGUUACAAUCUUCAGAGGGAUAAAUAUCAGCCAAAAAGGCUGAGAGCGUGGAAACAAAUUUGAAGAAGUGCUGAAGACUCCUAGCUGCUGCUUAGGUGAGAAGCAUCUAUACCUACAACUGAACCACCAUGAACUAAGACAGAAAGGGAAAAG